rnacentral:tRNA from 1 species
UCUGAGGUAGUUUAUAUGUAAAAUUUAGUGUUGAAAACGCUGCGAAAAAAUUUUUUUCUUGGAG